AAUGCUGCAACAAUUUGGAGGAACAAGAGGUGGGGACCUGAUAUACUAUAGGAAGGAAGAGACAGAGAAAGGAUUAAAUUAUUCCAUGGAAUUCAAAGAAAAUCGUUUUUUAAAGUUCGCAUGAUGCAACUUCCUGGAUGGCUGUGUAGGCUGUUUGUCAACAUGUGAAUCACACGUGCAUUUCGGGGUAGGAGUUGUCUAACCUUGAAAAGAUCAAUAAUGGCGGUUAAACAAUGUGGCAAGCAGUCUGGUCACCAAAGGAAGGUUUCGACACCCGUAUACCCAGAUUUAUGCCAAUUAACUCUGUAACCUUGGUUGUGUUCAUCACACACAUGAUGGACCACUCUACUUCCUUUGACAACAGGUGCCCCUACAGAUUCACAAAGUUCCAGUGUUAAGUUUCCAUGACCCCUAUUCAUCCAUGACAGGAAAAGGAAUAGAGCUGACAGAACUUCAAGACAGGACUUCCUGCACUGUCCCUGGUAGCAGUUUAUGAAGGAACCAACCGCAGUCAGGGAGAGCACGCUUCAUCAAAGGU